GAGUUUGAUCAUGGCUCAGAUUGAACGCUGGCGGCAGGCCUAACACAUGCAAGUCGAGCGGUAACAGAGAGAAGCUUGCUUCUCUGCUGACGAGCGGCGGACGGGUGAGUAAGACUUGGGAAUUUGCCUUUAGGCGGGGGACAACCACUGGAAACGGUGGCUAAUACCGCAUAAUGUCUACGGACCAAAGUGGGGGACCUUCGGGCCUCACACCUAAAGAUGAGCCCAAGCGGGAUUAGCUAGUUGGUGGGGUAAAGGCUCACCAAGGCGACGAUCCCUAGCUGUUCUGAGAGGAUGAUCAGCCACACUGGGACUGAGACACGGCCCAGACUCCUACGGGAGGCAGCAGUGGGGAAUAUUGCACAAUGGGGGAAACCCUGGUGCAGCCAUGCCGCGUGUGUGAAGAAGGCCUUCGGGUUGUAAAGCACUUUCAGUGGUGAGGAAAGGGUAAUCGUUAAUAGCGGUUACAGUUGACGUUAGCCACAGAAGAAGCACCGGCUAACUCCGUGCCAGCAGCCGCGGUAA
rnacentral:rRNA from 1 species